AGACCCGAAACCCGGUGAUCUAGCCAUGGGCAGGUUGAAGGUUGGGUAACACUAACUGGAGGACCGAACCGACUAAUGUUGAAAAAUUAGCGGAUGACUUGUGGCUGGGGGUGAAAGGCCAAUCAAACCGGGAGAUAGCUGGUUCUCCCCGAAAGCUAUUUAGGUAGCGCCUCGUGAAUUCAUCUCCGGGGGUAGAGCACUGUUUCGGCAAGGGGGUCAUCCCGACUUACCAACCCGAUGCAAACUGCGAAUACCGGAGAAUGUUAUCACGGGAGACACACGGCGGGUGCUAACGUCCGUCGUGAAGAGGGAAACAACCCAGACCGCCAGCUAAGGUCCCAAAGUCAUGGUUAAGUGGGAAACGAUGUGGGAAGGCCCAGACAGCCAGGAUGUUGGCUUAGAAGCAGCCAUCAUUUAAAGAAAGCGUAAUAGCUCACUGGUCGAGUCGGCCUGCGCGGAAGAUGUAACGGGGCUAAACCAUGCACCGAAGCUGCGGCAGCGACACUGUGUGUUGUUGGGUAGGGGAGCGUUCUGUAAGCCUGUGAAGGUGUGCUGUGAGGCAUGCUGGAGGUAUCAGAAGUGCGAAUGCUGACAUAAGUAACGAUAAAGCGGGUGAAAAGCCCGCUCGCCGGAAGACCAAGGGUUCCUGUCCAACGUUAAUCGGGGCAGGGUGAGUCGACCCCUAAGGCGAGGCCGAAAGGCGUAGUCGAUGGGAAACAGGUUAAUAUUCCUGUACUUGGUGUUACUGCGAAGGGGGGACGGAGAAGGCUAUGUUGGCCGGGCGACGGUUGUCCCGGUUUAAGCGUGUAGGCUGGUUUUCCAGGCAAAUCCGGAAAAUCAAGGCUGAGGCGUGAUGACGAGGCACUACGGUGCUGAAGCAACAAAUGCCCUGCUUCCAGGAAAAGCCUCUAAGCAUCAGGUAACAUCAAAUCGUACCCCAAACCGACACAGGUGGUCAGGUAGAGAAUACCAAGGCGCUUGAGAGAACUCGGGUGAAGGAACUAGGCAAAAUGGUGCCGUAACUUCGGGAGAAGGCACGCUGAUAUGUAGGUGAAGUCCCUCGCGGAUGGAGCUGAAAUCAGUCGAAGAUACCAGCUGGCUGCAACUGUUUAUUAAAAACACAGCACUGUGCAAACACGAAAGUGGACGUAUACGGUGUGACGCCUGCCCGGUGCCGGAAGGUUAAUUGAUGGGGUCAGCGCAAGCGAAGCUCUUGAUCGAAGCCCCGGUAAACGGCGGCCGUAACUAUAACGGUCCUAAGGUAGCGAAAUUCCUUGUCGGGUAAGUUCCGACCUGCACGAAUGGCGUAAUGAUGGCCAGGCUGUCUCCACCCGAGACUCAGUGAAAUUGAACUCGCUGUGAAGAUGCAGUGUACCCGCGGCAAGACGGAAAGACCCCGUGAACCUUUACUAUAGCUUGACACUGAACAUUGAGCCUUGAUGUGUAGGAUAGGUGGGAGGCUUUGAAGUGUGGACGCCAGUCUGCAUGGAGCCGACCUUGAAAUACCACCCUUUAAUGUUUGAUGUUCUAACGUGGACCCGUGAUCCGGGUUGCGGACAGUGUCUGGUGGGUAGUUUGACUGGGGCGGUCUCCUCCUAAAGAGUAACGGAGGAGCACGAAGGUUGGCUAAUCCUGGUCGGACAUCAGGAGGUUAGUGCAAUGGCAUAAGCCAGCUUGACUGCGAGCGUGACGGCGCGAGCAGGUGCGAAAGCAGGUCAUAGUGAUCCGGUGGUUCUGAAUGGAAGGGCCAUCGCUCAACGGAUAAAAGGUACUCCGGGGAUAACAGGCUGAUACCGCCCAAGAGUUCAUAUCGACGGCGGUGUUUGGCACCUCGAUGUCGGCUCAUCACAUCCUGGGGCUGAAGUAGGUCCCAAGGGUAUGGCUGUUCGCCAUUUAAAGUGGUACGCGAGCUGGGUUUAGAACGUCGUGAGACAGUUCGGUCCCUAUCUGCCGUGGGCGCUGGAGAACUGAGGGGGGCUGCUCCUAGUACGAGAGGACCGGAGUGGACGCAUCACUGGUGUUCGGGUUGUCAUGCCAAUGGCACUGCCCGGUAGCUAAAUGCGGAAGAGAUAAGUGCUGAAAGCAUCUAAGCACGAAACUUGCCCCGAGAUGAGUUCUCCCUGACCCUUUAAGGGUCCUGAAGGAACGUUGAAGACGACGACGU
rnacentral:rRNA from 1 species